rnacentral:rRNA from 1 species
AAUAGAUACCCAGGUAGUCCACGCCGUAAACGAUGAGUGCUAAGUGUUAGGGGGUUUCCGCCCCUUAGUGCUGCAGCUAACGCAUUAAGCACUCCGCCUGGGGAGUACGGUCGCAAGACUGAAACUCAAAGGAAUUGACGGGGGCCCGCACAAGCGGUGGAGCAUGUGGUUUAAUUCGAAGCAACGCGAAGAACCUUACCAGGUCUUGACAUCCCGCUGACCGCUAUGGAGACAUAGCUUUCCCUUCGGGGACAGCGGUGACAGGUGGUGCAUGGUUGUCGUCAGCUCGUGUCGUGAGAUGUUGGGUUAAGUCCCGCAACGAGCGCAACCCUUGUCCUUAGUUGCCAUCAUUCAGUUGGGCACUCUAAGGAGACUGCCGUACAAAUACGGAGGAAGGUGGGGAUGACGUCAAAUCAUCAUGCCCCUUAUGACCUGGGCUACACACGUGCUACAAUGGACGGUACAAACGGUUGCGAAGUCGCGAGACGGAGCCAAUCCGAGAAAGCCGUUCUCAGUUCGGAUUGCAGGCUG